AUUGAACGCUGGCGGCAGGCCUAACACAUGCAAGUCGAGCGGUUGACGGGAGCUUGCUCCCUGAUUCAGCGGCGGGCGGGUGAGUAAUGCCUAGGAAUCUGCCUAUUAGUGGGGGACAACGUUUCGAAAGGAACGCUAAUACCGCAUACGUCCUACGGGAGAAAGCAGGGGACCUUCGGGCCUUGCGCUAAUAGAGGAGCCUAGGUCGGAUUAGCUUGUUGGUGAGGUAAUGGCUCACCAAGGCGACGAUCCGUAACUGGUCUGAGAGGAUGAUCAGUCACACUGGAACUGAGACACGGUCCAGACUCCUACGGGAGGCAGCAGUGGGGAAUAUUGGACAAUGGGCGAAAGCCUGAUCCAGCCAUGCCGCGUGUGUGAAGAAGGUCUUCGGAUUGUAAAGCACUUUAAGUUGGGAGGGAGGGUUGUAGAUUAAUACUCUGCAAUUUUGACGUUACCGACAGAAUAAGCACCGGCUAACUCUGUGCCAGCAGCCGCCGUAA
rnacentral:rRNA from 1 species